rnacentral:rRNA from 1 species
AUUGAACGCUGGCGGCAGUCUUAACACAUGCAAGUCGAGCGGGGGAAGGUAGCUUGCUACUGGACCUAGCGGCGGACGGGUGAGUAAUGCUUAGGAAUCUGCCUAUUAGUGGGGGACAACAUCUCGAAAGGGAUGCUAAUACCGCAUACGUCCUACGGGAGAAAGCAGGGGAUCUUCGGACCUUGCGCUAAUAGAUGAGCCUAAGUCGGAUUAGCUAGUUGGUGGGGUAAAGGCCUACCAAGGCGACGAUCUGUAGCGGGUCUGAGAGGAUGGUCCGCCACACUGGGACUGAGACACGGCCCAGACUCCUACGGGAGGUAGCAGUGGGGAAUAUUGGACAAUGGGGGGAACCCUGAUCCAGCCAUGCCGCGUGUGUGAAGAAGGCCUUAUGGUUGUAAAGCACUUUAAGCGAGGAGGAGGCUACUUUAGUUAAUACCUAGAGAUAGUGGACGUUACUCGCAGAAUAAGCACCGGCUAACUCUGUGCCAGCCGCCGCAGUAA